AUGUCCAUCAGCCGGAAGAACUGGUCGGCUUUAUCCAGCCUGGCACGCCAGUGGACGAUGGAGGAUGAGGAGGAGGCAGAGCGGGAGAGGAGGCGGAGGGGGAAGAGCAGCAGCACUGCUGAGCCAGAUGUUGACUCCAGCCCUGAACCCAGAAACCAGUCCUCUGCCAGUGACGGUGUGUCUGGGACGGACUCCUCUAACGGGUCGCAGGACAUCAGCAGUGUGCAACAGAUGCAGCUGGACUUUGUGGAGAUGUUGCGAGUGCGCGAUGAAAAGCGGAGGAUGCGUCACGUGGAGAUACUGCGACAGCAGAAAGAGGAGGACGAUGCUGAGGGAAGCGGGAGAGGAGGAAGAGGAGGAGACGAGGGGGAUGUCAGGCUGGCUCUUCUUGGGGAGCUGAACGAGGAGGACAGUGUGUUCAAGCCACAACCACCUUUGAAAACCUCCAGUAGCAAAGCUCAAACCACUGUGGAAAGCAGACAGCAUGAAAACAGAGUGUCACACCGACCCCCCGAUCCUGAUGUCAUACCAGCAUCAAGCUCAUCUCGAAAGUUUGUCAGUUCGGUAUCCAUCUCACUAGACAACUCAUCUCCUUCUGCCAGCGGGCAGACAACUCCCACAAAUCCCUCCUCCCCAGUAGGCCGAUCGUCGCUUCAGGAUAACUGGAGUCCCUCAAUGCGAGAAAGCCAAAGCCCCGUUCAGAAUGGCCACACGCUGGAGACCAGCCCACAUGACCCUUCCUCCAAAGGAAACUCUGAACAGACAGCUAAACCUGCUUUCGUCAAACAGAGCUCCAGGACUUUAUCUUUUAGGAUGAUGAGGAAAAAAGAAGAGGAGAAAUCGCCUCUGCAGCGGAGCUCAAGCGUCAGAAUUGUCUCCAAGAAGUUUGAGUCCAGCAAGGCAGAUUUCAAGGAGCAAAACGACAAUGAGGACAAAGCGUCUUUUCAAAGAAAUUCAAGGCAGAGGAUUUCCUCCAGAUCUAUCAAGGAGAAGAUGGAGCGGCUGGCUCAGGCUGCACAGAAAUCAGAGAUGACUCGCUCUCCAGAUGUGACCCAGAGGACUCUGUUCCUGCUAGAAGAAGUCUCAAGGAAGAGAACCCUUUUUGAAAAAGACGAGCCGGCACAGAGCGUCACCAGUCCUGGAGCUUCCAGAAAAGAGUUUCAAAGUUUCACGUCAGGAAUGUCAGAACGGAUUAAUCGCUUUGUUAAGACCAACCAAUCUGGGUCCUCACUCAGUCCUGACUUGAGACAUGUGGACAUCAGCAGUAAGAGAAGCCUGUUUGAGAACAGAGGAGAGGACAGUGUCCCAAAGACCAGCCCCGGAAAAACCUACAAAUGAAGGUUUUCAAUGCUCAACAAAAAAAGGUGGAGAUAUGGACACCUAACGGAUGACACGACAGGCCUUCUUAGUUUUUUCUGCCAAAGCACAAAAGGGAAAUAUGUGGAGUGCAGCUUUAGCGGAAGCAUCUUUCACAGUUAGAGGGCUUUCAUUGUAUACUUUUGCUCAUCUUUUUCCUGUUUGAAUUGUUUUACGUGCUGAAAGUGUAACAGAAAGCUAUCUGACAGUUUAUUAAAUGCGUGAAAAUGGAAGUGGUUACCAAACACUAGAGAAAAAUGGUUUGACUUUUACUUUCCAGAUAAUUUCAGCUGGUAUUAUUAUCGCACGUUCUCAUCUCCUAAUCUGCCAAAAUGCAAACUCUCUCAUCUGUACUUUUGUACAAAAUCUGCUUUUCUGAAGAAUAAAAGUGUUUUGCUACUAAACUGUCGUCUGCUGCGUCUCCAAACCCAAACAAAAACCUUUGACCUUGUAAUUAUUUCAGAGAAGAGAGGUCUUUUUGUUAGCGCCACAGGGCCAAACAAGAGUGACAAAAGGUGUGUGUGAGUCAUGGUCUAAAGAUCGACCGUGGUUAUAUCUGGAUCUUCUUGACACUACAACCCCACAGUACUGAACAUGGCUGCCUUUUUUGGGAAUGCUGAUAAAGGAGAGUACUUGCUAUCUAAAAAGGUUAUUAAUAACACGAGGAGGUCCUCAAAUCUCCCCCACAAAGCAGCGGCUUCCUUUCCCCGCACUGACACUCACCUCAGGCUCCU
rnacentral:lncRNA from 1 species